GCCUGGGUGGCUCAGUGGGUUGAGCGUCCGACUACGGCUCAGGUCAUAAUCUUGCAGUUCGUGGGUUUGAGCCCCAUAUCAGGCU
rnacentral:tRNA from 1 species